rnacentral:rRNA from 1 species
AGAAUCAACGCUGGCGGCGUGCCUAACACAUGCAAGUCGAACGAGAAAGUGGAGCAAUCCAUGAGUAAAGUGGCGCACGGGUGAGUAACACGUGACUAACCUACCCUUGAGUGGGGAAUAACCUCGGGAAACCGGGGCUAAUACCGCAUAACACCUACGGGUCAAAGGAGCAAUUCGCUUAAGGAGGGGGUCGCGGCAGAUUAGUUAGUUGGCGGGGUAAUGGCCCACCAAGACAGUGAUCUGUA